CCGAGAUUUUAUGCGAGACGUAAACUUCGAAGUGUUACCAGAGAGCUUAGAUUUGGCUGCCUUGCCGUGAUAUAGCCUUAGUUGCUGGCUCGGUUUAAAAACCAAUCUUACACCCAUCUCCGCGACAACCAUCAGACUGGAGUCUUCACGGUGACUGGACUGCAGGCAGGUGGUUUCUGGUAAAGCUUGAAAGUCUCGACGUACACCUUCGUCGUGGGACAUCCACAGGUGGGCAGGACUUCACUGAAGCACUCCAUGUAGCCGGCGUAGGCGCUGUGGAAGCACGAGGGGAAAGAUGGAAUGUAGUCUCUGUACUCUGCUGGCAGACAUUGUAUGCUGACCUGUGUGACACACAUCAUGGCCCUCUGGAAGCGGCUCUGAUCACUGUACAUCAAAGACAUAGGUCAAUGCAGAAAUACCUCCCAUCGAUGUCAAGGGUAGGAGACUGAAUGACACUUUGCUUGGACUGACUUUGACCACUCGCGGUAAACUUCGGUGAAGGCCUUCGCGAGUGAAACACUCCUCUUGGC